CAAUAGCGUAUAUUAAAGUUGUUGCGGUUAAAAGCUCGUAGUUGGAUUUCUGCUGAGGACGACCGGUCCGCCCUCCGGGUGAGCAUCUGGUUCGGCCUUGGCAUCUUCUUGGUGAACGUAUCUGCACUUGACUGUGUGGUGCGGUACCCAGGACUUUUACUUUGAGGAAAUUAGAGUGUUUCAAGCAGGCAUACGCCUUGAAUACAUUAGCAUGGAAUAAUAAGAUAGGACCUCGGUUCUAUUUUGUUGGUUUCUAGAGCUGAGGUAAUGAUUAAUAGGGAUAGUUGGGGGUGCUAGUAUUGAGCGGCCAGAGGUGAAAUUCUUGGAUUCGCUCAAGACUAACUUAUGCGAAAGCAUUCACCAAGGAUGUCUUCUUUAAUCAAGAACGAAAGUUGGGGGAUCGAAGACGAUCAGAUACCAU
rnacentral:rRNA from 1 species